UUGAAACCUUGCUUCUGGAUGCCAGAAUUACAUAUCCAACUGCCAAUUUGACAACUCCACUUGGUUGUCUCAAACAUAAUUCAUGAUUUUCUUGAACUCAUGGUUUUCAACCCUAACUGUGGUCAUCUUUGCUGUAUCUUAGCUUGGUAAAGGGCACCACCAUCUGGUCACUUCUGCAAACCGGAACCAUAGAAAAUAGUCACACACCUUCUUCUCUCAUAUCCAAUUCAUCAAAAAGUUCAAUGGAUUAUGCUUCCUAAAAAUACCUUCACAUUUUCCCCUUCUUGUUAGGUCCACUCUCCUGCACCAGUUUAAGGUACAGCUGUCUCACCUGGACUAAUGAAAACUUCCUCACUGGGUAUCCCAAGCCUAUGCCAGUGCAUCUUAGAGUUCCUGGAAUAAAGCACAUGGUCAAGAAAUACUUGUUAAAUAAAUUAAUGAGUGGAUUACAACAGACUGAUAA
rnacentral:lncRNA from 10 species